AUAGCUCAGUGGUGGAGUGUGUGCUUAACAGGCACAAGGUCCUGGGUUCAAUCCCCAGU
rfam:Camelus ferus unplaced genomic scaffold scaffold602, whole genome shotgun sequence.